CAGUAGCCACGGUAAUACGAGGGGGGCAAGCGUUGUUCGGAAUUAUUGGGCGUAAAGGGUGCGUAGGCGGCUUGACAAGUCAUCUGUGAAAUCUCUGGGCUCAACCCAGAGUCUGCAGGCGAAACUGUCGAGCUUGAGUAUUGGAGAGGUGAGUGGAAUUUCCGGUGUAGCGGUGAAAUGCGUAGAUAUCGGAAGGAACGCCCGUGGCGAAAGCGAGGUCCUGGACGUUUUCUGACGCUGAGACGCGAAAGCUAGGGGAGCGAACGGGAUUAGAUACCCCAGUAGUCCCUGUCUCUUAUAC
rnacentral:rRNA from 1 species